rnacentral:rRNA from 1 species
GUGGGGAAUAUUGGACAAUGGGCGCAAGCCUGAUCCAGCCAUGCCGCGUGAGUGAUGAAGGCCUUAGGGUUGUAAAGCUCUUUCACCGAUGAAGAUAAUGACGGUAGUCGGAGAAGAAGCCCCGGCUAACUUCGUGCCAGCAGCCGCGGUAAUACGAAGGGGGCUAGCGUUGUUCGGAUUUACUGGGCGUAAAGCGCACGUAGGCGGUUUGUUAAGUCAGAGGUGAAAUCCCGGAGCUCAACUCCGGAACUGCCUUUGAUACUGGAAAGCUAGAGUCCGGAAGAGGUAAGUGGAACUCCUAGUGUAGAGGUGGAAUUCGUAGAUAUUAGGAAGAACACCAGUGGCGAAGGCGGCUUACUGGUCCGGAACUGACGCUGAGGUGCGAAAGCGUGGGGAGCAAACAGGAUUAGAUACCCGUGUAGUCC